AGUGAACGCUGGCGGUAGGCCUAACACAUGCAAGUCGAACGGCAGCACAGUAAGAGCUUGCUCUUACGGGUGGCGAGUGGCGGACGGGUGAGGAAUACAUCGGAAUCUACUUUUUCGUGGGGGAUAACGUAGGGAAACUUACGCUAAUACCGCAUACGACCUACGGGUGAAAGCAGGGGAUCUUCGGACCUUGCGCGAUUGAAUGAGCCGAUGCCGGAUUAGCUAGUUGGCGGGGUAAAGGCCCACCAAGGCGACGAUCCGUAGCUGGUCUGAGAGGAUGAUCAGCCACACUGGAACUGAGACACGGUCCAGACUCCUACGGGAGGCAGCAGUGGGGAAUAUUGGACAAUGGGCGCAAGCCUGAUCCAGCCAUACCGCGUGGGUGAAGAGGGCCUUCGGGUUGUAAAGCCCUUUUGUUGGGAAAGAAAAGCAGCAGGUUAAUACCCCGCUGUUCUGACGGUACCCAAAGAAUAAGCACCGGCUAACUUCGUG
rnacentral:rRNA from 1 species